AGAGCAGGACAAAUGAUCGCUGCUUUGCCCUCGGGCAGAGGAGAGGAAAGUCCGGGCUCCACAGGACAGGGUGCUGGGUAACACCCAGUCCCGGCGACGGGAAGGAAAGUGCCACAGAAAACAGACCGCCGGGUGGCGCGGCAUUGACCGCGCCACCGGGUAAGGGUGAAAAGGUGAGGUAAGAGCUCACCAGUCCUGCCGGUGACGACAGGAGCUAGGUAAACCCCGCCCGGAGCAAGACCAAAUAGGGGAACAUGAAGGGUGGUCCGCCCGAGUUCCCGGGUAGGUCGCUUGAUUUCGAUGGUAACAUCGAAGCUAGACGAAUGAUCAUUGUCCCGGGACAGGUGACUGUUUCGGGGAACAGAACCCGGCUUAUGGCCUGCUCUAACA
rnacentral:RNase_P_RNA from 1 species